CGCGACACGGAAUGGUUGCAGGCAGAGACGGAUUUCUGCCAGGAACGCCGCAGGAUGCGGUUCAUCAGGAUGAUGAUUGGGAAACAAAGGGAUAGGGACAAAAGAGUGGGCGGGCAACCGCCCCUUUUUUU
rfam:Pseudomonas sp. FeS53a scaffold9.1, whole genome shotgun sequence.